rnacentral:misc_RNA from 1 species
CGGAAGGUCACGACGGCUGUGUCACCGGCAACUGCCACUGCUGCGACGGUGAUACCGGCGGCCGCACCGACGCACUCCGCCGAGGAGCAAGUUCUGUCGUCGAACUCAUCCCCGGGCGUGGCGGCGCCUCCGGCGCCGCCUCGUCAGUUCCUGUCUGGCAAUCUGAUAGAGGAGAAUGAGAGGUUGAGGAAGGAAAACUCGAUGCUGAUGGAGGAGCUUGGACAGAUGAAAGGUCUCUG